CUGCCCCGCCCGGCCCCUCUCUGCCGUCCUCUUACCCGAAAGCACCACCCAACCCGCACCCCCCCAUCAAUCGGACGUACUGAGCGCUUCCGGUGUGCAGAGCACUGUGCUAAGCGUUCGGGAGAGGACAACAAGAAACAGAGACAUUCCUGGCGCUCAGCGGGCCCGUGCAACGCCUACCUUUAGCUCCGAAGGGCAAGAAUGUGGAGAGACCGAGGAGGGAGGUGUGCAAUAACCAUUAAGGUAGUCUUGACUGGCUUGGUUACCCGGUCGUAGGAAGGCGGACACACUGCUGUUGACAUGGUCAGAGCACCACUACUGAGGAGAAUCAUGAAGACAAUGAAGGUCUCAAACCAGUUAUGUUCAACUAUUUUGAAGCAUGUUUUCCUCAAAUUCCACCAUUGCUUUCCUUUUCCUGAUUCCACACUGACUUGACAGCAUUUGAAUCUUCUUACACAGCCUAUAAGUCAAAUGUCAGAUCCGAUUCACUACUGAAAUCUUCGGUGUUUAAAUUUUCGAAGUCAGAUUCACCAACAGCAAUUGGAACCGUCACAGUGAGACUGGGGUUGUUUAUA